CUUUGAUUUUCCUGUUAUGGAAAAUCUUGUCAAGCAAAGUGUUAAGGAUAAACAACCGUUCGAGCGGAUUGAAGUUAGUAAAGAAGAUCUACGGGAAAUGUUCAAGUACAAUGAAUUUAAAGUGAGGAUCCUUAACAAAAAAGUUACAACACCAACAACUACUGUUUACCGAUGUGUGCCAUUAAUGGAUUUAUGCAGGGGACCUUUAUAACAUAUUCGUCAUACAGGCAAAGUCAAAGCCUUUAAAGUUAUCAAAAAUUCCGCUAUAUAUAGGGAAGGAAAUUCCAUGGCUGAAGCAUUGUAACGUGUCUAUGGUAUUUCAUUUUUGGACAAUAAGCAAAUGAAAAAAUAGGAAAAAUUCCAAGAAGAAGCUGCUAGAAGAGACCAUCGUAAAAUUGGAAGAGAACAAGAACUAUUUAUCUUCCAUGAAUUAAGUCCAGGAUCUUGUUUCUUCCAACCAAAAGGUGCGCAUAUUUAUAAUACUUACUUUAAUUGAGUUCAUUAAAAGUGAAUACAAAAAACGUGGAUUCCAAAAAUUAGUAUCGCCGAAUAUUUACAAUGUUAAGUUAUGGGAAAAAUCUGGUCAUUGGACACAUA